AUAGGUUUGGAGCAAUGCAGCUUAGGCUUAUGUGUUACUUCAAGGAAACACCCGUAAGAGGUAUAAGACCAUGAUCACUAAAUGGAAAUAGGACGAGUGGAAAGGAAUCUUAACAGCAACAACAGAAUAGAAAAUGGAGUGUGGAUGCCUAAUCUCACUUCUCAUUCAAUAUUAAGCUGAUGAUCCAAAUGCAACUAGUAACCAUUCUGUUUUCUUCUUCCUUUCUUGGAAUUAUAAGCAACGUGGAAUAGUAAGUGUUCAUGGCAACAAGUCUAGACUCAAUGAGUUAUGCAAUUAAGAUCUGAAAACCCCUGAAGAUUCAAGAAUUGAAAUGGUGGGAACAAGUGUCUAAAGGCUGGAAUUGGUCCCUAAUCAAUGUCAAUUCAUAAAUUCAAAUCAUGUCCAAAUA